rnacentral:rRNA from 1 species
GACGAACGCUGGCGGCGUGCUUAACACAUGCAAGUCGAACGGAAAGGCCCUGCUUUUGUGGGGUGCUCGAGUGGCGAACGGGUGAGUAACACGUGAGUAACCUGCCCUUGACUUUGGGAUAACUUCAGGAAACUGGGACUAAUACCGGAUAGGAGCUCCUGCUGCAUGGUGGGGGUUGGAAAGUUUCGGCGGUUGGGGCUGGACUCGCGGCUUAUCAGCUUGUUGGUUGGGUAGUGGCUUACCAAGGCUUUGACGGGUCGCCGGCCUGGGAGGGUGGCCGGCCACAUUGGGCCUGAGAUACGGCCCAGACUCCUACGGGAGGCAGCAGUGGGGAAUAUUGCACAAUGGGCGGAAGCCUGAUGCAGCAACGCCGCGUGCGGGAUGACGGCCUUCGGGUUGUAAACCGCUUUCGCCUGUGACGAAGCGUGAGUGACGGUAAUGGGUAAAGAAGCACCGGCUAACUACGUG